AUACGGGGGGUGCAAGCGUUAUUCGGAUUUAUUGGGCGUAAAGGGCGCGUAGGCGGCUUGGAAAGUCAGAUGUGAAAGCCCGGGGCUCAACCCCGGAAGUGCAUUUGAAACUAUCAGGCUAGAGUAUGGGAGAGGGAAGUGGAAUUCCUGGUGUAGAGGUGAAAUUCGUAGAUAUCAGGAGGAACACCGGUGGCGAAGGCGACUUCCUGGACCAAUACUGACGCUGAGGCGCGAAGGCGUGGGGAGCAAACAGGAUUAGAUACCCCGGUAGUCC
rnacentral:rRNA from 1 species